CUGAAAACCCUAGAUCGGGAUCCCUGCCUCAUCUCUCCUCCCCAAUGGGACGCAUCCCUGCUUCCUCCCAAUCGGUCGUCUCCUGGCAGCGCGCGACGGCGACAUCGGCCGGAAUUGAACGGGACGGCGGCGAGCAGUCCUGGAACGGGGCUGUGGCGCCUCGUCUCUUUUCUCCCUCGAGAUCGUGCACGGGAUUGGCCCAAUCCCCACCUCCCACGCCCUCUGCUGCCUCCCCGGCUCGUCUCCUUCCAUCCUCGUUCUUCGGUUUUAGCCAUGGAGGACGCGGAUCAAGUGGCAGCGCAGCACGGGGCUAAGAUUUGUUCAGGGAACGGAGUAGGAGGGCUGGGCCACCAUACGUGCUUCCACGACUGCCUACACCACUUCUCGUCUUCCUCCUGGCCAAAAUCAUGCCUAAAGUGAUGGACUGCUCCUGGAAGAAAGAAGCAUCAGCGGGCAGCGCGUAGAAGAGGAAGCGGGUCGGCGGCGUGGAGGUUGCAGGCUGGCGCGGAGGAGAGGCAGCGGCGGGCGGCGUGGAGAAGAAGAAGCGGGGCGGCGGGUAGCAAGAAGCAGCGGUGCUGCACGGAGAAGAGGCAGCAGGGCGCGGUGCGGGCAAGAAGCGGCAGCGCCGCCCUGUCUCUUGUACAGGCUGGCCCUGGAUGCGGUCAAGAAAUAGUGGGGGCGAUGCAGACGCUGCCCACGAGCCGGAGGGAUGCAGUCAAGAAACAGUGGGGGUGGCGCAGACGCCGCCCACGAGCCCGUCCUCACGGAGGACGCUGUAUGCCACGAGCUCGUCCUCACGGAGGCCGCCGUACGCCUCGUGCUUGUCCUCACGGAGGACAGGUCGACUCCGGCGGCCUUUGGCACUGUGCAGGAGAUUGAGCCGGCGGUCUACUGGCUAAGAGGUUCGGUUUCCCUAUCUCCGUCGGUAGCAUCCACACCUCCGCGUCAGGCUGGACAGGUGGACGGUAAUGUUCCUUGGCAGACAGUGGACGGUUCGGAAUGGGGAUGGAUUGAGCAACAAUAGAGUGUUUUCAUUGUCCUAGGGUGGUUUGGGCUGGAGCAUUGGAGCUCCGACGCUUGUGCCGCUGCGCCCCAAAGUUGUGAAAUGGCUUCUACUGGUAUUCCCUCUCUAUUCUUUCUUAUCAAUAUCUAUCAGGUUGCUGCUAUGUAUGUCUCACCACUUUGUUUUUUGAGUCAAUCACUCUGAUAUAUGA